GCUUGCCUAGAUGAUUUUAGUGCUUGCACUAAAUGAAACUAGAUACAAGCGAGCGGCGGACGGGUGAGUAACACGUGGGUAACCUGCCCAAGAGACUGGGAUAACACCUGGAAACAGAUGCUAAUACCGGAUAACAACACUAGACGCAUGUCUAGAGUUUGAAAGAUGGUUCUGCUAUCACUCUUGGAUGGACCUGCGGUGCAUUAGCUAGUUGGUAAGGUAACGGCUUACCAAGGCAAUGAUGCAUAGCCGAGUUGAGAGACUGAUCGGCCCACAUUGGGACUGAGACACGGCCCAAACUCCUACGGGAGGCAGCAGUAGGGAAUCUUCCACAAUGGACGAAAGUCUGAUGGAGCAACGCCGCGUGAGUGAAGAAGGGUUUCGGCUCGUAAAGCUCUGUUGGCAGUGAAGAAAGAUAGAGGUAGUAACUGGCCUUUAUUUGACAAAAAUUACUUUGAAAGUCACGGCUAACUGCGUGCCAGCAGCCGCGGUAAUACGUAGGUGGCAAGCGUUGUCCGGAUUUAUUGGGCGUAAAGCGAGUGCAGGCGGUUCAAUAAGUCUGAUGUGAAAGCCUUCGGCUCAACCGGAGAGUUGCUUCCGCCNCUGUUGNNCUUGNGUGCCGCCGCGGCGCGUGGCCCUCCUUGUGUNGCGGUGGNNUGCGUNGUUUUUUGGAGGGNCCCCCGUGGCGAGGGGGGCUCUUUGGUCGGCAACUGACGCUGAGGCUUGAAAGCAUGGGUAGCGAACAGGAUUAGAUACCCUGGUAGUCCAUGCCGUAAACGAUGAGUGCUAAGUGUUGGGAGGUUUCCGCCUCUCAGUGCUGCAGCUAACGCAUUAAGCACUCCGCCUGGGGAGUACGACCGCAAGGUUGAAACUCAAAGGAAUUGACGGGGGCCCGCACAAGCGGUGGAGCAUGUGGUUUAAUUCGAAGCAACGCGAAGAACCUUACCAGGUCUUGACAUCCAGUGCAAACCUAAGAGAUUAGGUGUUCCCUUCGGGGACGCUGAGACAGGUGGUGCAUGGCUGUCGUCAGCUCGUGUCGUGAGAUGUUGGGUUAAGUCCCGCAACGAGCGCAACCCUUGUCAUUAGUUGCCAUCAUUAAGUUGGGCACUCUAAUGAGACUGCCGGUGACAAACCGGAGGAAGGUGGGGAUGACGUCAAGUCAUCAUGCCCCUUAUGACCUGGGCUACACACGUGCUACAAUGGACGGUACAACGAGAAGCGAACCUGCGAAGGCAAGCGGAUCUCUUAAAGCUGUUCUCAGUUCGGACUGUAGGCUGCAACUCGCCUACACGAAGCUGGAAUCGCUAGUAAUCGC
rnacentral:rRNA from 1 species